AAUUCUACUUCAACUUGAGCACCUUUCUUUUAUCACUCUAUAGAAAGUGCUAUUAAGUUGGAGUAUGAUUC
rnacentral:pre_miRNA from 1 species